CCUACGGGUGACAGCAGUGGGGAAUAUUGCGCAAUGGGCGAAAGCCUGACGCAGCGACGCCGCGUGAGGGAUGAAGGUCUUCGGAUCGUAAACCUCUGUCAGCAGGGAAGAACGGUCACUGUGCUAAUCAGCAGUGAAUUGACGGGACCUGCAAAGGAAGCACCGGCUAACUCCGUGCCAGCAGCCGCGGUAAUACGGAGGGUGCGAGCGUUGAUCGGAAUUACGGGGCGUAAAGCGCGCGUAGGCGGUAUGUCAAGUCAAGGGUGAACUCCCCGCGCUCAACGUGGGAACUGCCUUUGAAACUGGCAAACUGGAGUGUGUGAGAGGAUAGUGGAAUUCCAGGUGUAGGAGUGAAAUCCGUAGAUAUCUGGAGGAACAUCAGUGGCGAAGGCGACUAUCUGGCACAUAACUGACGCUGAGGAGCGAAAGCGUGGGUAGCAAACAGGAUUAGAUACCCCUGUAGUC
rnacentral:rRNA from 1 species